rnacentral:rRNA from 1 species
GACGAACGCUGGCGGCGUGCCUAAUACAUGCAAGUCGAGCGGACAGAUGGGAGCUUGCUCCCUGAUGUUAGCGGCGGACGGGUGAGUAACACGUGGGUAACCUGCCUGUAAGACUGGGAUAACUCCGGGAAACCGGGGCUAAUACCGGAUGGUUGUUUGAACCGCAUGGUUCAAACAUAAAAGGUGGCUUCGGCUACCACUUACAGAUGGACCCGCGGCGCAUUAGCUAGUUGGUGAGGUAACGGCUCACCAAGGCAACGAUGCGUAGCCGACCUGAGAGGGUGAUCGGCCACACUGGGACUGAGACACGGCCCAGACUCCUACGGGAGGCAGCAGUAGGGAAUCUUCCGCAAUGGACGAAAGUCUGACGGAGCAACGCCGCGUGAGUGAUGAAGGUUUUCGGAUCGUAAAGCUCUGUUGUUAGGGAAGAACAAGUACCGUUCGAAUAGGGCGGUACCUUGACGGUACCUAACCAGAAAGCCACGGCUAACUACGUGCCAGCAGCCGCGGUAAUACGUAGGUGGCAAGCGUUGUCCGGAAUUAUUGGGCGUAAAGGGCUCGCAGGCGGUUUCUUAAGUCUGAUGUGAAAGCCCCCGGCUCAACCGGGGAGGGUCAUUGGAAACUGGGGAACUUGAAUGCAGAAGAGGAGAGUGGAAUUCCACGUGUAGCGGUGAAAUGCGUAGAGAUGUGGAGGAACACCAGUGGCGAAGGCGACUCUCUGGUCUGUAACUGACGCUGAGGAGCGAAAGCGUGGGGAGCGAACAGGAUUAGAUACCCUGGUAGUCCACGCCGUAAACGAUGAGUGCUAAGUGUUAGGGGGUUUCCGCCCCUUAGUGCUGCAGCUAACGCAUUAAGCACUCCGCCUGGGGAGUACGGUCGCAAGACUGAAACUCAAAGGAAUUGACGGGGGCCCGCACAAGCGGUGGAGCAUGUGGUUUAAUUCGAAGCAACGCGAAGAACCUUACCAGGUCUUGACAUCCUCUGACAAUCCUAGAGAUAGGACGUCCCCUUCGGGGGCAGAGUGACAGGUGGUGCAUGGUUGUCGUCAGCUCGUGUCGUGAGAUGUUGGGUUAAGUCCCGCAACGAGCGCAACCCUUGAUCUUAGUUGCCAGCAUUCAGUUGGGCACUCUAAGGUGACUGCCGGUGACAAACCGGAGGAAGGUGGGGAUGACGUCAAAUCAUCAUGCCCCUUAUGACCUGGGCUACACACGUGCUACAAUGGACAGAACAAAGGGCAGCGAAACCGCGAGGUUAAGCCAAUCCCACAAAUCUGUUCUCAGUUCGGAUCGCAGUCUGCAACUCGACUGCGUGAAGCUGGAAUCGCUAGUAAUCGCGGAUCAGCAUGCCGCGGUGAAUACGAUCCCGGGCCUUGUACACACCGCCCGUCACACCACGAGAGUUUGUAACACCCGAAGUCGGUGAGGUAACCUUUUAGGAGCCAGCCGCCGAAGGUGGGACAGAUGAUUGGGGUG